rnacentral:lncRNA from 1 species
CAUUACAACUAUGAUAAACAACAACAACUAUUGAUAAUGAUGAACCAUUGCAAUUCUUAGUGACAACCCUUGUAAUUAUUGAUAAUGGUAGACUUUAGUUAUGUACCAUUGUAAUUUUUGGUGAUUACCAUUAUGAUAAUUGGUUAACCAUUGCAAUGUUCUGAUUGUUAAUCAUUGCAACCCUCAACUUUCUAUAUAAAAAUUGU